UCGUUCCCCGAAAAUGUUAUU
rnacentral:piRNA from 1 species